rnacentral:tRNA from 1 species
GUAGGGUAGUAUCCUGGAAGUCUUA